GCGGAGGAAAAGAAACCAACAGGGAUUGCCCCAGUAACGGCGAGUGAAGCGGCAACAGCUCAAAUUUGAAAUCUGGUCCCCCCGCGGGGCCCGAGUUGUAAUUUGAAGAGGAUGCUUCUGGCAAGGUGCCGUCCGAGUUCCCUGGAACGGGACGCCGCAGAGGGUGAGAGCCCCGUACGGUCGGACGCCGAGCCUCUGUGAAGCUCCUUCGACGAGUCGAGUAGUUUGGGAAUGCUGCUCAAAAUGGGAGGUAAACCCCUUCUAAAGCUAAAUACCGGCCAGAGACCGAUAGCGCACAAGUAGAGUGAUCGAAAGAUGAAAAGCACUUUGAAAAGAGAGUUAAAAAGCACGUGAAAUUGUUGAAAGGGAAGCGCUUGCGACCAGACUCGCGCCCGUCGGAUCAGCCGUCGCUCGUCGGCGGCGCACUCCGGCGGGCUCGGGCCAGCAUCAGUUCGCCUCGGGGGGAGAAAGGCGGCGGGAAUGUGGCUCUACGGAGUGUUAUAGCCCGCCGCGUAAUA
rnacentral:rRNA from 1 species